CAGGAAUGCAAGAAGUUGAGAGGCUUACUUCUCACCACACAUAGGAGAAACCCUCUGGGAACCACAGCUCUACUGCUCUCCCGGUAUUGGACGUGAAGUGGUUCAAUAGGAAUGCUUUCCAGCUGCUGCUGCUGCUGCUGAUGCUGAGGAAAGAAGCCACCACUGCGAACCUGCUAACAGGGAAACACAUUGGGUCACCCUUCUGUCAGGCAGUUAUUCUUCCUGCCAAAGAAGGAAUUUAAAAUCCUCAUGUCUGUCCACAGAGAAUCAAUUUUGGCCCAGAAAGAAGAGUUACCUAUGAGGAAGACAGAAGGAAUGAUGGUACAAUUAGUCAAGCUGUCCUUUAGCAUCUUGCUGAACCUAAAGGAGGGAAUCAGAAUUUUUUAUGGAAAUCUAUUGGUAAACUCAGUACUUCGAGCAUUUUUGGUACAAGCAAAGACUAAAAGCUAUCUGAGUAUAAUUGUUGGGAGUCUAAAGCGACAGAGGGGACAUCAGAGAGCAGAUUGUCUUGGAUACACAAGAGAGUUCCCAGAACUUGGAAGAAGAGAAAUCCCAGCUGGGCCAGCACCUUUCCCUUGUAUAUUCUGGUUAAGGGUCAUCAGCAUUUCCUUGGUGACAGGAGCGGAGGCAGAUUUCAGAACUCACUGUGUAUCUUUUCAGCAUGUUGAAUAAACUGCGUAUUGUUCUCUUUCACACUGCUUUUUCAGGGACUCUCAGAAAACACAUUCACUAAUAGCUAAGGAAUCUGUUAGGUAUUAUAAAAUCAUAUAGCAAUGACUAUUAUUUUUAAGUACAGAUUUUAUAAAGAUAUUUUAUAGUCUUUAUUUGUAGUUAUAGUGGUCCUUCAAAGUACAUUUUUUGGAACCCCAAUUAGGGUGAAGAAAGUGAGGCAUUCACCACAGGGGCAAGCAACAUUUAAUGGGGAACCAAAAAAACCCAGCACUCAAUGUAAAUAAUAUUUUAAUGAAAUAUUAAAAAAAAAUUAAUGCCAAGCUUUCACAAAGCAUAAACACCAUAAUUUUAAAUAAAAACAGGCUGUUUUGUUCUACAACUCUGUGUUAUUGUGCAACAGGAACAGUCAUUUCCAAUCAGCAGCAUGCCCCACCAGCCAGUUUAUUAGGGUUGAUAAUGUCAUGCAAACAGAUUGGGCAAUGCAGAGCUUUAAACAGAAGUCAUGAUUUGUCCCUGAAAAGCUCCAGUUAACUAUUCCCAUUUGAUUCACAAUAAAGGGGGCUAUUUUGAUAACGUAUAUAGGAACACGCAGUCUUCGUUUUGUUUCAGGCUCCGACAUGGCUCAGCAGGGCAUCCCAGUUUAUUAGUGACAUUUUCAUGAAGCUUAGAGAAGUGAGCUAACUUGCCAAGGUGAUGGAAGCUAGUGAGUGUACAGGCUGGAGUUCCAUCCCGGCUCAUAUCGCCUUGCUAACCAUGCCACAUCACAUGUACCAUGGUCAACUAUGUUGGGCCAACAUUCCUUCAUAUUAUAUUUGAGAUUCUGACUCUCUAGUGGGAAAAUCCAUGUAAGGAGCAUGUCUCAAAUAUGCAGAGCUUCCCAGUGGGUAUGGUGGGCCUCAGAGGCACCAGUCCUGUUAACCUUGGAAGCAGCUGGACAAGGCCUAGGUCGCUGGUGACUUGUUUUCCUCUGACACAAAUCCUUUACACCUCGAGGCAUUGUAAAAAUAAAAUUAUGUCUACCUAUCU
rnacentral:lncRNA from 1 species